rnacentral:rRNA from 1 species
CCUACGGGAGGCAGCAGUAGGGAAUUUUGCGCAAUGGGCGAAAGCCUGACGCAGCAACGCCGCGUGAUCGAGACGCCCUUCGGGGUGUAAAGAUCUGUCAGUGGGGACGAAACUUGACGGUACCCACAGAGGAAGCACCGGCUCACUCCGUGCCAGCAGCCGCGGUAAUACGGGGGGUGCAAGCGUUGUCCGGAAUCAUUGGGCGUAAAGCGUUCGUAGGCGGCACGUAAAGUCUGGUGUUAAAGGCAGGGGCUCAACUUCUGUACGGCACUGGGUACUUGCGAGCUAGAAUGCGGUAGAGGGAAAGGGAAUUCCUGGUGUAGCGGUGAAAUGCUUAGAUAUCAGGAGGAACAUCGGUGGCGUAAGCGCUUUACUGGGCCGUAAUUGACGCUGAGGAACGAAAGCCAGGGUAGCAAAUGGGAUUAGAUACCCCGGUAGUC